GACGAACGCUGGCGGCGUGCCUAAUACAUGCAAGUAGAACGCACAGUUUAUACCGUAGCUUGCUACACCAUAGACUGUGAGUUGCGAACGGGUGAGUAACGCGUAGGUAACCUGCCUGGUAGCGGGGGAUAACUAUUGGAAACGAUAGCUAAUACCGCAUAAUAUUAAUUAUUGCAUGAUAAUUAAUUGAAAGGUGCAAUUGCACCACUACCAGAUGGACCUGCGCUGUAUUAGCUAGUAGGUGAGGUAACGGCUCACCUAGGCGACGAUACAUAGCCGACCUGAGAGGGUGAUCGGCCACACUGGGACUGAGACACGGCCCAGACUCCUACGGGAGGCAGCAGUAGGGAAUCUUCGGCAAUGGACGAAAGUCUGACCGAGCAACGCCGCGUGAGUGAAGAAGGGUGUCGGAUCGUAAAGCUCUGUUGUAAGAGAAGAACGGGUGUGAGAGUGGAAAGUUCACACUGUGACGGUAUCUUACCAGAAAGGGACGGCUAACUACGUG
rnacentral:rRNA from 1 species